rnacentral:pre_miRNA from 1 species
CUAGACGUAGCCGAUGUUCCAAAGCAGGGGACCCAGGACAGACUCCUGCGGAACACCGCGCUCGACGGG